GAGUUUGAUCCUGGCUCAGGACGAACGCUGGCGGCGCGCCUAACACAUGCAAGUCGAACGAGAGAGAAGGAGCUUGCUUCUUCGAUCGAGUGGCGAACGGGUGAGUAACGCGUGAGGAACCUGCCUCAAAGAGGGGGACAACAGUUGGAAACGACUGCUAAUACCGCAUGAUAUAUUCGGAUGGCAUCGUCUGAAUAUCAAAGAUUUAUCGCUGAAAGAUGGGCUCACGUCUGAUUAGUUAGUUGGUGAGGUAACGGCUCACCAAGACUGCGAUCAGUAGCCGGACUGAGAGGUUGAACGGCCACAUUGGGACUGAGAUACGGCCCAGACUCCUACGGGAGGCAGCAGUGGGGAAUAUUGCGCAAUGGGGGAAACCCUGACGCAGCAACGCCGCGUGAAGGAUGAAGGUCUUCGGAUUGUAAACUUCUUUUAUUAAGGACGAAGAAAGUGACGGUACUUAAUGAAUAAGCUCCGGCUAACUACGUGCCAGCCGCCGCGGUAAUAC
rnacentral:rRNA from 1 species